AUUGAACGCUGGCGGCAGGCCUAACACAUGCAAGUCGAACGAGUGGCGGACGGGUGAGUAAUGUCUGGGAAACUGCCUGAUGGAGGGGGAUAACUACUGGAAACGGUAGCUAAUACCGCAUACCAUCAGAUGUGCCCAGAUGGGCUUAGCUGGUUGGUGGGGUAACGGCUAACAAAGGCGACGAUCCCUAGCUGGUAUGAGAGGAUGACCAGCAACACGGGAACUGAGACACGGUCCAGACUCCGACGGGAGGCAGCAGUGGGGAAUAUGGCACAAUGGGCGCAAGCCUGAAGCAGCCAUGCCGCGUGUAUGAAGAAGGCCGUCGGGUGGUAAAGUACUUUCAGCGGGGAGGCGUUACCCGCGGAAGAAGCACCGGCUAACUCCGUGCCAGCCGCCGCGGUAAUAC
rnacentral:rRNA from 1 species